rnacentral:rRNA from 1 species
AGAGUUUGAUCCUGGCUCAGGAUGAACGCUAGCGGCAGGCCUAACACAUGCAAGUCGAGGGGCAUCACGAGGUAGCAAUACUUUGGUGGCGACCGGCGCACGGGUGCGUAACGCGUAUGUAACCUACCUAUAACAGGGGCAUAACACUGAGAAAUUGGUACUAAUUCCCCAUAAUAUUCGGAGAGGCAUCUCUCCGGGUUGAAAACUCCGGUGGUUAUAGAUGGACAUGCGUUGUAUUAGCUAGUUGGUGAGGUAACGGCUCACCAAGGCAACGAUACAUAGGGGGACUGAGAGGUUAACCCCCCACACUGGUACUGAGACACGGACCAGACUCCUACGGGAGGCAGCAGUGAGGAAUAUUGGUCAAUGGACGCAAGUCUGAACCAGCCAUGCCGCGUGCAGGAUGACGGCUCUAUGAGUUGUAAACUGCUUUUGUACGAGGGUAAACUCACCUACGUGUAGGUGACUGAAAGUAUCGUACGAAUAAGGAUCGGCUAACUCCGUGCCAGCAGCCGCGGUAAUACGGAGGAUUCAAGCGUUAUCCGGAUUUAUUGGGUUUAAAGGGUGCGUAGGCGGUUAGAUAAGUUAGAGGUGAAAUCCCGGGGCUUAACUCCGAAAUUGCCUCUAAUACUGUUUGACUAGAGAGUAGUUGCGGUAGGCGGAAUGUAUGGUGUAGCGGUGAAAUGCUUAGAGAUCAUACAGAACACCGAUUGCGAAGGCAGCUUACCAAACUAUAUCUGACGUUGAGGCACGAAAGCGUGGGGAGCAAACAGGAUUAGAUACCCUGGUAGUCCACGCAGUAAACGAUGAUAACUCGUUGUCGGCGAUACACAGUCGGUGACUAAGCGAAAGCGAUAAGUUAUCCACCUGGGGAGUACGUUCGCAAGAAUGAAACUCAAAGGAAUUGACGGGGGCCCGCACAAGCGGAGGAACAUGUG